rnacentral:sRNA from 1 species
AGAAACCGUGCCGGAGAGAUAAGGGAGAGCCGAGAGGAAGCGGGGAUGUCGGAGGAGAUCAUCACGCCGGUGUACUGCACCGGAGUGUCAGCCCAAGUGCAGAAGCAGCGGGCCAGGGAGCUGGGCCUCGGCCGCCAUGAGAAUGCCAUCAAGUACCUGGGCCAGGAUUAUGAGCAGCUGCGGGUGCGAUGCCUGCAGAGUGGGACCCUCUUCCGUGAUGAGGCCUUCCCCCCGGUGCCCCAGAGCCUGGGUUACAAGGACCUGGGUCCCAAUUCCUCCAAGACCUAUGGCAUCAAGUGGAAGCGUCCCACGGAGCUGCUGUCAAACCCCCAGUUCAUCGUGGAUGGAGCCACCCGCACAGACAUCUGCCAGGGAGCACUGGGGGACUGCUGGCUCUUGGCGGCCAUCGCCUCCCUCACUCUCAACGACACCCUCCUGCACCGAGUGGUUCCACACGGUCAGAGCUUCCAGAAUGGCUAUGCCGGCAUCUUCCAUUUCCAGGUGAGGGCCCCCCUGGGGAGGAGGGGCAGCAGGCAUUGGGGGAGAUGUGGAAGGAUGACCCAUAGUACCUGCCGUU